rnacentral:rRNA from 1 species
CAGGCUUAACACAUGCAAGUCGAGGGGCAUCAGGAAGAAAGCUUGCUUUCUUUGCUGGCGACCGGCGCACGGGUGAGUAACACGUAUCCAACCUGCCCUUUACUCGGGGAUAGCCUUUCGAAAGAAAGAUUAAUACCCGAUGGCAUAAUGAUUCCGCAUGGUUUCAUUAUUAAAGGAUUCCGGUAAAGGAUGGGGAUGCGUUCCAUUAGGUUGUUGGUGAGGUAACGGCUCACCAAGCCUUCGAUGGAUAGGGGUUCUGAGAGGAAGGUCCCCCACAUUGGAACUGAGAUACGGUCCAAACUCCUACGGGAGGCAGCAGUGAGGAAUAUUGGUCAAUGGGCGCUAGCCUGAACCAGCCAAGUAGCGUGAAGGAUGAAGGCUCUAUGGGUCGUAAACUUCUUUUAUAUAAGAAUAAAGUGCAGUAUGUAUACUGUUUUGUAUGUAUUAUAUGAAUAAGGAUCGGCUAACUCCGUGCCAGCAGCCGCGGUAAUACGGAGGAUCCGAGCGUUAUCCGGAUUUAUUGGGUUUAAAGGGAGCGUAGGUGGACUGGUAAGUCAGUUGUGAAAGUUUGCGGCUCAACCGUAAAAUUGCAGUUGAUACUGUCAGUCUUGAGUACAGUAGAGGUGGGCGGAAUUCGGGGUGUAGCGGUGAAAUGCUUAGAUAUCACGAAGAACUCCGAUUGCGAAGGCAGCUCACUGGACUGCAACUGACACUGAUGCCUCGAAAAGUGUGGGUAUCAAACAGGAUUAGAUACCCUGGUAGUCCACACAGUAAACGAUGAAUACUCGCUGUUUGCGAUAUACAGUAAGCGUACAAGCGAAAGCAUUAAGUAUUCCACCUGGGGAGUACGCCGGCAACGGUGAAACUCAAAGGAAUUGACGGGGGCCCGCACAAGCGGAGGAACAUGUGGUUUAAUUCGAUGAUACGCGAGGAACUUUACCCGGGCUUAAAUUGCAGUGGAAUGAUGUGGAAACAUGUCAGUGAGCAAUCACCGCUGUGAAGGUGCUGCAUGGUUGUCGUCAGCUCGUGCCGUGAGGUGUCGGCUUAAGUGCCAUAACGAGCGCAACCCUUAUCUUUAGUUACUAACAGGUCAUGCUGAGGACUCUAGAGAGACUGCCGUCGUAAGAUGUGAGGAAGGUGGGGAUGACGUCAAAUCAGCACGGCCCUUACGUCCGGGGCUACACACGUGUUACAAUGGGGGGUACAGAAGGCAGCUAGCGGGUGACCGUAUGCUAAUCCCAAAAGCCUCUCUCAGUUAGGAUAGAAGUCUGCAACACGACUUCGUGAAGCUGGAUUCGAUAGUAAUCGAGCAUCAGACACGGCGCGGUGAAUACGUUCCCGGGCCUUGUACACACCGCCCGUCAAGCCAUGGGAGCCGGGGGUACCUGAAGUACGUAACCGCAAGGAUCGUCCUAGGGUAAAACUGGUGACUGGGGCUAAGU